ACUUGUUCACUUAUAGCGCAAACAUUUAUUGAGCGCUUAUUUUACCCCGAGGAGCUUCCACACCAGCGGGGAAGAAAGACAGCUAGGGGAGGGGAACAGAGCACACUGUGCCUCGCCCGGAGAGACGGAGGGGUAGCACCCCCCUGCCAAUGGGUAAGGUGCACAGUAAAGAAGUGAAGCAGUGGAUGAGAUAACUGCGGUGGAGACCACCUCCUAUGGAAACGAGUCUGGAGCAGCUGGUACCCUGGUGGUGGUGGAGCUCGCCCUGGAGACAGGAUUCCUCCAGAUCCCAGCACCUGGGAGUGCUCACUAAAGCCUCACGGAAGGGACACCACCGCCUGGCAGCCCUCCUCAGGCCCCGGGGCCGUGAAGCCUGUAACACCAUCCUACUCAUCUUCACCCCAGUGGUGAUAACCACCACCCAGACUGGCCCUGGGGACAACACACAGUCUUCAAGAAUCAUGCUGGAAGGUCCACGGCAGCGAACAAGUCCCGAUGGAAACCCAGAGGCGGCGACAUUGACCUCUACACUUUCCUGCCUUCCAGGAAAUGGUGGUUCUUUCAGCAGGGAAGGGUGAUGGGCCCAUUCCCCGAAGGGGACUCAUUCUGGGGGGCCCAGAGCAGCCAUAGCAACAGCACAGGGGGCGGGGGUGGACAUGGGUGUUGCCCGCGGGGACACUGGCUCUCUGCUCUUUGGGUAAGCCCAGGACUCAGCCAGGUGCUUGUGGGGAGAGGUUUCAGGUGUGCGAGGGCUAGAGCAAGCGGUGAGGCCCCGGGGCAGCCCACCUCGAGGGGCCCAGCCCCCUCCCUGCAGUACAAAAUGGGUAUGCCUGUUCUUGGUAAAUAUACUUGAUAUGUGCUUUAAGUAAGAAACAUGAAGACAAAAGCAAAC